rnacentral:lncRNA from 1 species
UCGAAAUGGAAAACCCUCGUGGACCAGGCUGAACACUGCCUGGGAAUUUCAAGUGACUCUCUUUCCAAGAAAAACCUACAAAUUUUGGGUAAUUUGUCCUGUGCCCUGAAUGACUCACAAAUUAUAAAAUCUGACCCUUACAUCCUCCAAAUGCUUCAGCACUGUUCAUCAUUCACUGCAUCUCAAGUCACAGCCAUUCAGCAUAGGUUGGAAGACAUCUUUGGGUCUCCAUCAACAUGGACAGCCAGCACCCUGCAGGGGAUGGGUAAUCUUGCCAGCAUCUUAGACAGCAAUAUCCUUCAGAGAGUCCCUGAGACCUCGAAGACACAUUUUUUCCCAAAUUUCUUGAGUUGGCUAAAGAUUCACAACAAGGAACAAUUCAUGUACAGUUUGAAACAACUCAGAGGACCCCAAAGGAACAAACGGGACACAACUUGUCCUGGAGUGCCACUAACAGCAGAUAGAGUAAAGAAGGAGAGAGACAUGGUAGCCGCCCGAUACACUUCUACUAGUGAGCUGGAAGCCUGCUUGCCGGACAGCGUCCUAAAAAACCACUUGGAGCUCUUUGGGAGCAUGGAGUUUGAGGAUCCUCUGCUCCAGGUUCUGAAAAUGAAACUGGAUAAGGUAGAGUUCAGCUGGUGAGGGAAGAGGGAGAGGGAAGUCAUGGGAGAGACAAAACUGAGCCCUCCACCUAUGAGAUCAGCAAGCCUGACUGCCUAAGCAAAGGCAGGCAGGUGGGAGUGGAAGGUCACCAUGUAUAUUUAGUCCUAGUAAGACGAUUCGCAAAUCCAAA